AAACACGUGGUUCGAGACCAUCCCACGUAAAAAAACUAGGGGGAA
rnacentral:ncRNA from 1 species